rnacentral:rRNA from 1 species
UACGGAAGGGGCAAGCGUUGUUCGGAAUCAUUGGGCGUAAAGGGCGCGCAGGUGGUUCUGUAUGUCUACCGUGAAAGCGUACGGCUCAACCGUAUUUUGUCGGUAGAAACUGCAGGACUUGAGGCUGGGAGGGGCUGGUGGAAUUCCCUGUGUAGCGGUGAAAUGCGUAGAGAUGGGGGGAGAACACUCGUGGCGAAGGCGGCCAGCUAGACCAGUUCUGACACUGAGGCGCGACAGCGUGGGGGAGCAAACAGG